GACGAACGCUGGCGGCGUGCUUCAUACAUGCAAGUCGAACGAGAAGCUAGAGCUUGCUCUAGUGGAAAGUGGCGGACGGGUGAGUAAUAUGUAGGAAAUCUGCCCUAGAGAGGGGGACGAACAGAAGGAAACUUACUGCUAAUACCCCACUAUGAGCUUGGUUGAAAUAACCAAUCUUGAAAACUACCGGUGCUCUAGGAUGAGCCUGCACCUGAUUAGCUUGUUGGUGGUGUAACGGCUCACCUAGGCGACGAUCCCUAGCUGGUCUGAGAGGAUGACCAGCCACACUGGAACUGAGACACGGUCCAGACUCCUACGGGAGGCAGCAGUGGGGAAUAUUGCACAAUGGGCGCAAGCCUGAUGCAGCCAUGCCG
rnacentral:rRNA from 1 species